rnacentral:rRNA from 1 species
GAUGAACGCUGGCGGCGUGCCUAAUACAUGCAAGUCGAGCGAACGGACGAGAAGCUUGCUUCUCUGAUGUUAGCGGCGGACGGGUGAGUAACACGUGGAUAACCUACCUAUAAGACUGGGAUAACUUCGGGAAACCGGAGCUAAUACCGGAUAAUAUUUUGAACCGCAUGGUUCAAUAGUGAAAGACGGUCUUGCUGUCACUUAUAGAUGGAUCCGCGCUGCAUUAGCUAGUUGGUAAGGUAACGGCUUACCAAGGCAACGAUGCAUAGCCGACCUGAGAGGGCGAUCGGCCACACUGGAACUGAGACACGGUCCAGACUCCUACGGGAGGCAGCAGUAAGGAAUCUUCCGCAAUGGGCGAAAGCCUGACGGAGCAACGCCGCGUGAGUGAUGAAGGUCUUCGGAUCGUAAAACUCUGUUAUUAGGGAAGAACAUAUGUGUAAGUAACUGUGCACAUCUUGACGGUACCUAAUCAGAAAGCCACGGCUAACUACGUG